rnacentral:rRNA from 1 species
CGUGGCUUAACCAGCAAUGGAAAGAGCGGUCGAAGGUGUGGGGAGUGAGGGGGACGAAGUCGUAACAAGGUAGCCGUAUCGGAAGGUGCGGCUGGAUCACCUCCUUU